GUCUGCUUCCUCCUGUUUGCAGUGCUGUACAUUGUGUCGUACUGCAUCAUCUCACGCUACAAGAGAAAAAGCGAUGAUCAGGAAGAUGAGGAUGCCAUUGUCAACAGAAUAUCGAUGUACCUGUGUACAUUCACACUGGCAGUGUCUGGAGGAGCUGUCCUUCUCUUACCAUUUUCUAUAAUCAGUUAUGAGAUUGUGCUCUCUCUACCAAAAAACUACUACAUACAGUGGCUCAAUGGAUCACUCAUUCAUG